rnacentral:lncRNA from 1 species
CCCUUUGAGCUUAAACAGUUGAAUCUCGGCUUGAAAUAAAGCGAGAUCUCAAAAAUCUUUUUUUUACAACCCGAAAAAUCUUGAUUAUUGUUCUUUUGCCGUAAAAAGUUAAGAGCAUUCACUUAGGGUGUGGAAGAAAUAAGUUGGGGAGAACGAAAAAGAAUUGGUAAGUACCACAACUCUUGAAAAAGAAAAGAAAAACCGAGCAAGCAUAGAAAAAUAUAUGUAUAGAAAAUAUAGAAAAGAAACAUCUGUUUUGUAUAUUUGAUG